rnacentral:tRNA from 1 species
AUCAAAUUAAGUUAAUUAGACUAAGUGUUUUCAAAACACUAAGUGAUGUAAGUCAUUUGAUG